GACGAACGCUGGCGGCGUGCUUAACACAUGCAAGUCGAACGGAGUGGCGAACGGGUGAGUAACCCGUGGGUGACCUUCCCUGCACUUCGGGAUAAGCCUGGGAGACUGGGUCUAAUACCGGAUAGUGUGGGCUGGGCCCGCGGCCUGUCAGCUUGUUGGUGGGGUAAUGGCCUACCAAGGAGGCUACGGGUAGCCGGCCUGAGAGGGUGGACGGCCAGAUUGGGACGUAGACACGGCCCAGACUCCGCAGGGAGGCAACAGUGGGGAAUAUUGCACGAUGGGCGGAAGCCUGAUGCAGCGACGCCGCGUGGGGGAUGACGGCCUUCGGGUUGUAAACUCCUUUCACCAUCGACGCGGUAGAUGGAGAAGAAGCAACGGCUAACUACGGGCCAGCAGCCGCGGUAAUUC
rnacentral:rRNA from 1 species